rnacentral:rRNA from 1 species
UGUACGGGUUGUGAGAGCAGGAGCCCGGAGAUGGAUUCUGAGACACGAAUCCAGGCCCUACGGGGCGCAGCAGGCGCGAAAACUCUACAAUGCAGGCAACUGCGAUAGGGGAACAUCGAGUGGCAUCCACCAUGGAUGUCUGUCCAAUCGUCUAAAAAACGAUUGUCAGCAAGGGCCGGGCAAGACCGGUGCCAGCCGCCGCGGUAAUACCGGCGGCUCGAGUGGUGGCCGAUAUUAUUGAGUCUAAAGGGUCCGUAGCCGGCUUUGCAAGUCCCCCGGGAAAUCCAGCGGCUUAACCGUUGGGCUUCCGUGGGAUACUACAUUGCUUGGGACUGGGAGAGGUAGGAGGUACUCGGGGGGUAGGGGUGAAAUCCUGUAAUCCCCUGGGGACCACCGGUGGCGAAAGCGUCCUACCAGAACAGGUCCGACGGUGAGGGACGAAAGCUAGGGGCACGAACCGGAUUAGAUACCCGGGUAGUCCUAGCCGUAAACGAUGCCCGCUAGGUGUCACGGCGGUCGUGAAUCGCCGUGGUGCCGUAGGGAAGCCGCGAAGCGGGCACUUGGGAAGUACGGCCGCAAGGCUGAAACUUAA